CCACCUCGUCCCUCUUCGCCAACCGGAGCGAGUCCUCUAAUUCUUCGUCUCGAAUAGAUCCCUCGGCUAAACAGAACGCGACGCCCCCAGAUCUCACGAUGAUGUCCCCAAAACCUCCCAUGUCCGAUGCCCGAGCUGCUCGCUCGACGUCUUCCAGUUCCAGGCACACUCCCUUGCAGAUAAUACAUGUUAUUGGGAACUUUAUGAGAAUAUGGUCUGUUUACUCCUUGUAUCACUAUCUAUCGCAUCAAGGAGAUAGUGUAGUAGCUUUUAUUUUCAGUUGCUUGGUUCCAGCUUCUAUUAUUUUCCUGGUGCUGCAAAAGCCUUGGAAAGGGAGGCCUUUACCCAAUUCACAGAUAAUACCGACUGUCAUUAAUGGAGGAAUAAUGGCAUUAUAUUUCAUAUUAUGGGGAAAAGGACUUUUAUCAUGUGGACCACUAAUUGCUCUACUGGCCGAGUAUGCAGGUGCUGUUCUUGGGGUCUUAUCUGCAGCAUUAUAUGGACGGCAAGUCCAUAUUUGGAAAAAGGUGGGUGGACUCAUUGCAAUGCUAGCUUCCUACUACUUCUUGUCAAAAGGAUGGGCUACAAGAACAAACUCACCAUUUUAUAGCUUUGGCAAAGAACCACUCGUGCAAGCAAAACAAUCUUUAGGAUUUAAAGAAAUGGCAGUACCCAUGUCUGCUGGAAUUUUAUCAGCUUUGAGACGGGUGAUUGCUCGCCGUGUGUCACUCAAGAAUCAACUUAAAAGGCGACUUCAUGCAAUAUGUAUUGCUUCUGCGACGUGCUUUCUUUUUCCUCUUGCCAUGUGGGACACAAUCUUAGGAUCAACAUCUGAUAGCAUUAUUAAGUUUCAGCUUCCAAGUUGGGCAUACUUGAGUACUGUCUUCUUUGGAAUCAUCUUUGUAUUCUAUGCCGACAACAUUGCGGAAGAAAGAUUGCAUCUUGUUUUCUCUUCUCCACGGCAUCUCAUGAUUUCAGGAGGGUCUAUCAUCCUUAUGGAGAUCUUAUACCAAAUGGAUUUUUCCCUAAUAGGUUUCGUGACUUGCUCUUUAAUAUUGGGAUUUGGUAUUUUUGAAGCAACCUCUUUGGGAAGAUCAAGAAGAGGUCCUUUAGAAUCUCAAGAUGCUUCAGAGGAGGCUUUUCAGAACCAACUGCAGAUGUCUUCACUUCCUAGCUGAUACCUAACCUUUAGAUGAGCUGGUCCAUGGGCCAAACUUGGCUUGAGCAAAGGCUUUGGAAGAAUGGGCAAGCCUAUGAAUAUUUUCAAGUGUACAAUCGACAUGGAGGGAGUCCAUAGAGGAGGUGAAUAAAUGCUCUCAAAGAGUGAUUGGUGGUGGGGAUAAGCAAUGUGUGUCGUCUUCCUUGUAUCAACAUCAAUUAUUCAACUUGGUAGCCUUGUGAACAGGUAUCAUUCGCUCAUGUUUAAUAACAGUAGCUAUAUAUCAUGAUAAGACAAAAUCUGAUUGGGACAAAUGGACAAACAGUGAGUGAUGCAUACCUGAAAGCAUUCCUAUGCUUGUAAGAGUACUGAGAAUUGUUUUCCUUAUCCUUGUUCUGUUCUUAAAAAUAGAUCAAACUAAAAGUUUCAUCUGCCAUGGAUAUCACAGCACAGUAAUCCUUGAUGCCACAUGCACUAGAAGGCAGGGAUUGGUCCAAUGCCACUCCGUUACAAAGUCGCUGUAUCUUGCACCUGGAAAUUCACACUGGGAAUUACUCAUCCCUUUUCCAGCUGGUGCAAAUUUAUGUAUCAGCAUGCACUUAAUUGUCUCGCUAGGGAAGUUAGUCGACUGGAACAAGUUCCACUGACAUCACCAAAUUUGGAUUUAUUUUCAUAGCUGUUCUGUCAUUAUCAUAUCAAUUUGAAUUUGGUGGCGAAGUUGAUGCAUAAUUUUCUUUCCUGAGUAAUAUACAGAAGAUUCAUUACGCCUCACCGUAAAUUUUCUCAACCAGUUACUGAGAUAGUCAAGUACAGAGCAGUGCAUAUGAUUUUGCUCAAAACUGAAUUUUCAUCUGUGCGAAAUGAACUCAUGAUUACCAUAGUUUUAGGAUAUUGAUUAGAGCAAUUGUUCCUAUUCUUAUGUACAAUAACUGCCCUGUAAAAAUCUUGGGGUUUAUACUGCAAAAGAGCACUUGCAUGUUCA